rnacentral:rRNA from 1 species
ACCGGCGGCUCGAGUGGUGGCCACUAUUACUGGGCUUAAAGCGUUCGUAGCUGGCUUGUUAAGUCUCUGGGGAAAUCUUCCGGCUCAACCGGAAGGCGUCUCAGGGAUACUGGCAGGUUAGGGACCGGAAGAGGUGAGAGGUAAUCCAGGGGUAGGAGUGUAAUCCUGUAAUCCUUGGGGGACGACCGGUGGCGGAGGCGUCCCACCAGGACGGCUCCGACAGUGGGGAACGAAAGCUGGGGGAGCAAGCCG